rnacentral:rRNA from 1 species
GACGAAGGAUGCAAGCGUUAUCCGGAUUCAUUGGGUUUAAAGGGCGCGUAGGUGGUCUUAUAAGUCAGUGGUGAAAUCUCUGGGCUUAACCCAGGAAUUGCCAUUGAUACUGUAGGACUUGAGUAUAGUUGCCGUUGGCGGAAUAUGACAUGUAGUGGUGAAAUACAUAGAGAUGUCAUAGAACACCGAUUGCGAAGGCAGCUAACGAAACUAUAACUGACACUGAGGCUCGAAAGUGCGGGGAUCAAACAGG